UGGGAAGACACUGCUUUGUAUGAUUUUUUAAUUAGCGAUAAGGUACCAAAACUAAGAAAUGUAAGCAGAGACGAUGAUUUCGGCAUUAGUCAUUCCAUUUGCAGCAUGCGCUGCUCUUGCACUAAGCCAGCGCUACGAUCCUCAGUGCCCAGUAAGGGAGCACCCAAUUGGAUGUCAGUUCAUGGGGCGUCUACUUCUGCCCGGCACAAGUCAACUUUGGCGUCUACCUUGCCUAAAAGUAUCGUGCCGAGUAGAUGGAUCUGUUACCAGCAGAGGGUGCCCAAGCACGCCUGGAAGGAACCCUCAUCCCGGAGCUGCUCCUGGACCAGGAGUUUGGCCCCUCUGCUGUGACACAUGCAGCUGAGUUCAGC
rnacentral:lncRNA from 1 species